GCACUAAUGGGGUAGUGGUAACCUUAGUCGUUCCCAUCAACUAGCGUCGAGUUCGAUUUUACUUAGUGCA